rnacentral:rRNA from 1 species
CCUACGGGUGGCAGCAGUGAGGAAUAUUUGUCAAUGGCCGGAAGGCUGAACCAGCGAAGCCGCGUGAGGGAGGAAGGCGCAGAGCGUCGCAGACCUCUUUUGCCGGGGGACAAAAUGCCGGACUCGUCCGGUCCUGAGGGUACCCGGAGAAAACGCAUCGGCAAACUCCGUGCCAGCAGCCGCGGAAAUACGAGGGAUGCGAGCGUUAUCCGGAUUCAUGGGGUUUAUGGGGUGCGGAGGCGGGCCUUUAGGCCGGCGGUGAAAGCGCGGGGCCCAACCCCGCCGAGCACUCGAAACUGGGGGCCUUGAGUGAGGCGGAGGGAUGCGGAAUGCGCGGUGUAGCGGUGAAAUGCGUAGAUAUCGCGCAGAAC